GUGUCGGGGUGCGAGGCGUCACAGCUGAACAGGAAGUCGGCGACGGCCGGGUCACUGACCGUCCCUCCCUCCGCCACUGCGGAGGCAAAAGCACAGGGUCUAGCUCAUUGAUUGGUUAAGAGCCAAAGGCGGGAGAGGCCUUAGGCCAACAGAAGAGGCGUGGUCGCUAUUGCACAGAACUGACGUGCGACGUUGUAGGAAGAGGUCGCUCAGACUGGAACUGAUGCAGUUUGAGAAACUCCAAGGACACGUGCUCCUGCAGGUGCACCUUGUCCUCCUGGAAACUCCGUGAUGGGCACAGGUGUUACUGAGGCCAGCAGGGGGUGAUGGGGACCCAUCCCACCAACGCGGCGCAGCCUGGGGAACGCCGGUGCAGGAACGUGCUUGACUCGAACUCACAAACUCGCGCUCGCCAGGCAGGAACUUACGCCACUGAGCUACAUCCCCAGCCCUUCCUCUGCCUUGUUGUUAAGUACAGGUUACCCUAAAAUGUGCCCGAAGGGUGAAGGGGGCCGCGGUGACGGGGCGUGACCUUGGGGAGCGUAUCUGUCCCUGGCCCUUCCUUCUCUGGCUCUUUCACUCUCACCCUCUUUCUCUCUCUCUUGCUGCCAUGAGGCAAGCAGCUUUUCUAGGCCAGGCCCUCCGCCAUGACCUUUUUGUCUCACCACACACCGGAGGCCGUGGAGCCAGACAACCAGGAGCUGAAACCAGGAGCUAAAACAAACCUUUCCUCCUUUGUGUAUCUCAGGCAUUCUGAGAGGAAAAAAAAAGAAAGCUCACCU